GGACUCAACGCCGGACAUCUCACCAGCACCGACAAUGUGCAGUGAAGGCCAGUUUGAUGAGCUUGCUGGAGCCAUUGAGAGGAGGUGCAUGGCCGCCGUCAGCUCGUACCGUGAGGCAUCCUGUUAAGUCAGGCAACGAGCGAGAUCCGUACGCUUAGUUGCCAGCAGCAUCUUGCGAUGGCUGGGUACACUAAGUGGACUGCCACGGCUAACGUGGAGGAAGGAACGGGCAACGGUAGGUCAGCAUGCCCCGAAUGUGCUGGGCUACACGCGGGCUACAAUGGCCAAGACAACGGGUCGCUAUUCCGAGAGGGAACGCUAAUCCCAUAAACUUGGUCGUAGUUCGGAUUGAGGGCUGAAACUCGCCCUCAUGAAGCUGGAUUCGGUAGUAAUCGCGUGUCAGAAGCGCGCGGUGAAUACGUCCCUGCUCCUUGCACACACCGCCCGUCAAAUCACCCGAGUAGGGUCCGGAUGAGGCCAUCAUACGAUGGUCAAAUCCGGGCUCUGCAAGGGGGAUUAAGUCGUAACAAGGUAGCCGUAGAGGAAUCUGCGGCUGGAUCACCUCCUACUGACCGG
rnacentral:rRNA from 1 species